GGGCUGCAAUUGUUGGUGACAAGUUGGUGACUCAAACAUGACGUUUUUCGGGCGCAGUGGGGCGAGCUCAGUGUCUUGCACAGAAACACACAGAGUGGCUGGAGUUCAAACACACGAUUGUCAGACUCCACUGCUGCUCCGCCACCACGUGAAAUGCAUUCCUACAAAGAAAAGUGGAAAGAUGGAACACUGAAACGAAGCAAGUGUUCCUUUCAUCUGUUGCCAUGGUGAGCAAAGAACACAGCUUUCUGCGCCUCAAAAGCCGACCAUUAGGAUGGAGGGAAGUGAUGAUUGCUUUUGCCUACUCUCAUUUUUUUUGUAGUUUUUAUGAUGACAUGACAUUCAAAUGUGUUUUUAAUGCCUACUUACCUGUAGGUCCAACAGCAGCAGUGGGUUACUGCAGUUUCCAUUAACAGUAAAGUAUUUAACRUGUCGCAUAGACGAAAUGUCUUCUCAGGGCUUGAAUGCUUGAAGUGAACAAAAAAAAAAUCAAAAAGGUUAUCUUACAUAACUGGAACAAUUUCAACAUGAUCUGGUGUAAAAAAAUGUGGUAAAUGGAUGGUGGUGUGUCUAUGYUGCUUUCUUUAUUAACCACAUUUAUAUGGACAUAAAUGGCAGAAUAAAAGUGUGAACACUCCAA